UUGCUACAGCAGCACAUAUACUAAAAUUGGAACAAUACAGAGAAGAUGAGCAUGGCCCUGUGCAAAAUCGUUUAGCCUAGAGCCUAGAUCACAUCACAUACCUUU
ensembl:snRNA U6 U6 spliceosomal RNA